rnacentral:misc_RNA from 1 species
GUUCGAAGUAUUAUUGACAAAGAAAAGCAGCGACAGUUCAAAAGCCUUGAACUUAUUGCCUCAGAGAAUUUUACGUCUCGGGCAGUUAUGGAGGCAGUGGGGUCCUGUCUGACAAACAAAUAUUCAGAAGGAUUACCUGGAAAAAGGUACUAUGGUGGCAAUGAACAUAUCGAUGAGCUUGAAACACUCUGUCAACAAAGGGCUCUAGCAGCAUUUCAUUUGGACAGUAACAAGUGGGGUGUAAAUGUUCAACCAUUAUCUGGUUCACCUGCUAACUUUGAGGUUUAUACUGCAAUUCUU